AUCUUCUCCUCCUCCCUCUCUGUGAUCGAAAAUCUUGAGCUGCACCGGCCGGGGCAGUCCUGCUGGGCUCCUCCGAGGGGGCUGUGGCAGUUGCUCCGGUCGCAGUGAAUUAUUUGGGGCGCCGGGGAAGGAGAUGCAGCUCGCGGCGGCGGCUGUACCCUUUCGUGUAACCUUGCUGCUCCCCCCGCCGAGCCCCUUCUCGGCUUCUCGCCCCCCACCCCACCCCCUACCUUUUUGACAAUUAAAUGCCCGUCACAAUUGGCCAGGAGGAACCCGAGUGGUCUCUAGAACUGUAAAACACCCCCGUAAUUAGUGCGCUUUUGUAAAAAAAAAAAAAAAAGAAAAGAAAAGAAAAAAAUCGUGCUCCUACUCCUACUCCCAACAUGUGACUGAAAUGUAACUUUUGUUCCUGAGGGGUGGUCUCCUUAGAAAAAAAAGUUCGUCAGCCCCCGUUGGGGAUGCAAUCUUUUUUUUUUUUUUCCCCCCCUUAGAGGACUGCCUGGGUCAGAUCAGACUGGAUUUUUUCUCCUCCUCUGAUUGUAAUUGCAAGCGCUGUCGGAGAGACAGUCCUGGUGUCAGCUUUUCCUGGGCAUUUGCACAAUGAAUUUCUCUCUUUCUUUUUUAAACCGAGGUAAAUAAGUUGCCGAAUGCUUAUUUUACUCCCAUGCAUGUGAAAGUUGAGUAAUCCCAAAGUAGAAAACUCCUGUGAUGCAGAGAGAGAGAGAGAGAGAGAGAGAGAAUUAUCUAAGUGAGCAGGCAAAGUGACCUUCCCUGUUUGACAGUGCAGAGAGGAUAUCUAAGAGUAGAAAUCUCCCGGCUUUCUGGUCGUGUUUUGCAGUAUUGUAAAUGCAGGGUGGUGGAUGUUUGCAAACACCGUACUUGGCUUCCAAGUAGUCAUGUGUGUACACGUAUAUAUGUCUGUAUCUAUAGAGCUGGUGGUACUGUGGUUUGUUGCUUCUAAGAAGUUGUAAAGUUUGCCACCGUGAGGAGGCAGGAUGAUUUGUCCAUUUCCCCCAAUUAUUUUUCCCAUGGCUGCGUAUACUGUGCACUUUAUUUAUUUCACUAUUCCAUCAGUCCCCAGGUGGAAAGCCUUCUGCUUCUGUGAGAGGCCGAAACCACUGAAGUUUGUUUGUUUUCAGCUUGGCCCAUUUAAUAUGUGCUCAUUGAGUGGACGCUGCAGAAACAAUGAACAAAUAACCUGUUUUCCUCAUCUGGGGGGAAUUAGAGAAACCUUUCCUGUUUCAACACUGCUUUUCCAAUAGGAAACAGUAUUUUGUUUAAAGUAUUCCUGUUUCAAGGAAACAGUAUUUUAUUAUAUUUGCUUACUAGGUUUUUGUAAUUAGACUUAGAUUUUAGUGUUUCUCAUCAGGUGAGAUUUUCAUGGAUUUUUAACAUAGGGCUAAAGUGAACUAAAAAAGUGGGUUGGGUUUCUUUGUUUUUGCCUCACAAAAAUGCCCAGGGGCACUUGAGGGCUUUUGUGUUUGUAGAUACCUGGGGGCAGCAGAAUGUCUGUGGUGGAGAGGGUAUCACAGUAAAUAAUUUAAGGUACUUGGAUACUUCAAAACUAGUUUCUUUUGCUGUAUAAAUUAGCUUCUACAAUGAGCACGGUACAGAUAAUUUGACACUUAAUAACACAAACAGAGGUAACUAAAUAAUAGGGUAUUAAAUCAGUAAAUUGUAUUUGAUGGCAAUAAAUCCCACAUCAGGAAAACCUGGACCAACGACGGGGCGGUAAUUUUAGGCUGAAAACAAACAAAAAGCUAUUCUUUCUGUGACUUUUCUUGAUACCUCUCUUAAAGAGACUGCAUGUCCCCACUGUUCUGAUGGGCUUAUUUCUAGUGCUACUGAGUGGCUUGUUUCAUCCUACUCUAGUGGGAAGAGUUCAGCAGCCCCUUUCCUUGCACAGACAUACAGAACUAAUCUCCAAACCCAGACAGAACACUGUCUUAAAUGUGACAUAAAAAUUGCAGCCAUAGUUUGCCUGUCAUUUUUUUCCUUUUUGCUUAUCCUUUCAGGUUUUUUUCGGUGCCUCUUUUCAUGACUGUGUAUUUCUAUGUAAUUAACAUAGAUGGAAUACUCUUCACUAGUAACGAAAGUAUCACUUGUAUUUGAAUGGUUCUUCACCGAACCAGAACCAGCGUAGAACUGUUGGCUUAGACCGUGUGUAUGUUUAGGUGCACACAUGUGAAGUGUGUUUUUUUCCAAGGAGUUUGUUGAAUUCACAGUGUUCCAAUAAUAAGUGCCUCAGAUCAAGGACUUGGGAUUAUUCUGGGUCAUCUGAAAAUGUGCUGGUGAUGUGUGCAGUGUUUCAUUUAGUCCUUGGGAUGUGGUACAGUGACUGCAUAAUAAAAAAUGUUUGCUGGUAACCCGCAAGCAAGUUACGGGGAUUGCUUCUAGAGUCCAGUAAACAAUAACUUUUCUGUGGAGCGGAGAAGGAAUGUCAGAAGCUUUCAAGGAUGAGCUGAUGAGUCCGAUGUAUUGAAGACAUGUGAUACGGAAGCCUCCCUCUGUGUGGAGAGAUUUCCCUCACUCCUCCACUCCACUCCUGAAACCUUCCUCACUUGUUCCCAUUCCUUACAAGCAGCUGGUCAGCAAACAGUAAAUUCCUCAGCAGCUUGUGUGAUAGAGCACAGAGGAGCCUGACCGGAGGCAGCCACAGAGGGAAGUACUUGGUUUACUUCUGAGCAGUGUCUGUUCUCCUGGAAAAGCAAAGUGUAGAAUUUAGGUGCAAUUUCCAAGGUGAAAGUUUUUGACUCGGUCAAGCAGUGACACCUUUGUAUAGAUCGCUUCUGUGGUGGUAGUUGACAUCGAAUGCCUGAUAAGCACCUUUUAUAUUUCUUUUGAGCUUUGUAGGCAUCUUUUCAUCACCUAGGGAAGUGAGUACCAGACACGCAUCGUACACAGAAGACAGGUUGACUAGCCCAAGGUUACCCAAACCGUCACGGAGCCCCACCGUUUCUCUGCACUGGGCUGCCCCACGUGUGCAAGGGCACUCUCAUUCAAGAGUUUAAAUGCUUCCUUUGCUGACCAGUGGAGUGGUUCAAAUGUAAGGACAGGGACAACUGACUAUAUAAAAAAACAAAUAAUUUUUUUCAGAGGCUUGAGUGGCUGACUGUGCUGGUCACGGGAGGAAGGAAGAGGCUGUCCUUUCCAUCAUCAGCCUUCACCUUCAAGUCACCUGUUCGGUUUUAAGUUCAGCCGACUUGCUGCGGAAAGUGGUGAUGGCCCAGCAGACACAGUCCUUCGCUUCUUGGCAUGGUGCUUUAGUUGUGAGGGCCAUCCAGGUUACCAGACCUAGUGGCCUAACUGCCCCUUCCCCCUUUCCCUGCCCUCCCUGUUUGUCUCUACUCUCCAGUAUGGUUGGCCUUCUUAGCAGAAAGAAAUCUCUUUUUAUUUUGCUACUAACUGGGACACUCCGGGUUUCCCCUACUGGACUCUGAGCUCCUUGGGUUUAGCGAUGGUUAUCUUUGUGUCCCAGUACCUAGCUUGGCACCUGGCACAGAAGUGUUCCUCAGUAAUGUUUGCUGAUUUGAAGUGAGGCAUGGGAGGAGGUCAGCGCCCUUUCCUGUCUGUUCCUGUGUACCAGAGGGUGACUUAACACUUUUAUCCAUUAGCUCACGGGAAGUAUUUAAUAAGUCCGCACUGCUGUCUCAGGGGGGCCUAGAACACUCUCUGGGUGUCUGUCCAAAAAUGAUUAUCAGUAGAAUUUUGGUAUAAUGAUACUGUUUUUAUUAUUUUCAUAAAAUGAAAAAAAACACUUGUGUAUCUAAACAGACAAGGGAAUUGAGUAAAAGAUGAUAAAGGGGCUUGAAGAAUCACUUUAGAAGGCUCAGAUUAGUAGGCUUGCCGGUUUUCCCGUUUCUUGGACAAUUGAACCAGGGAACCUUUAGGCUUUCAGAACUGGAAGGGCUUAGGGAUCACCUGGGCCAGCCUCGUAUUUUCAUAGAGAGGAGGUCCAGAGAACGAAAUGGCUUGCUCCAGCUAAUUGGUGUCUGAGCCAGGUUUAGAGCACCAUAGGCCUCGUUCUCAGGCCCCUGCACUGCAUUUGCUGGGUUCAUGGUGCAUCCCUAUAAAAGGCCAAGGAAAUUCGAUACAAUAGGCUGCACUCUCUCUGGCACUUCCUAGCUUGGUCCAUUUUAAUCCCAAGCCAGCUGGUAUGAGGGCACGGAGAUAUGUGCCAAGGAAGAUGUGUGUGGGGGGAGCACUGGGCCCAGAGGGUAUAUUGUUAGAUGUGAGAAGAGGAAGUAGUAGGAGUAGGGGAUCAGGGAAGAAGGGGUUGAUGAACUUGUAUUUGUACCACUGUUUGCAGCAACAUUUUUUUUAUUAUGGUAAAAAACACACAGUGUGAAAUUUACUAUCUUAACCAUUUUUCAGCGUGCAGUUCCGUAAGUGAUAAGUAUAUUCACAUUGUGGGGCAACAGACAGAUCUCUAGAACUUUUUCAUCUUGCAGCUCAGAAACUCUAUACCCACUACACACUCAUUUUCCCCCUCCCCUCCUCCCGGCCUUGGUAGCCGCCUGUCGAUUUUCUGUUUCUAUGGUUUUGACUACUUAGGGUACCUUAUGUAAGUGGAAUCCUAUAUUAUUGUUACUUUGCUUGUUGUUAACGCCCUGGAGGUUCCUCCACGUGGCAGAAUGGUACAGGAUUUCCGUCUUGUUUUAAGGCUGCAUAAUACUCCGUUUUACGUGUAUGCCACAUUCUCUUUAUCCGUUCAUCUGCUGAUGGAGAUUUCGGUUACUUCUAUCUCAUGGCUGUGUGGAUAAAGCUGUGGUGAGCAUAGAUGUGUGAUGACCGCUUGGAGAUCCUGCUUUGAGCCCUUUGGAUGUACUCCAAAGAUGGGAUGGGCGGGAUGCAGCAACUCUUUUUUACAGUGUGUGUGAGAAGUCUGGUACGAAAGGAAGGUACAGCUGAAAGAAAAUCUGUAAAUCUCAGUUGAGCUGCAUCUGCGCACACCGAGGAAGGAACCAGACUGAUGAAGUGUGGCUUGCUGGGGCAUCUCAGGAUGAGCCCCGAUGAAGAGGCAGAAAUGACUUGUGUCCCACAUCAUCUGUUGGUUAGAAAUGAGUGCUGUUGCCUGUUGGAAACUGUUCCUUCAGUGUCGAAAUAUUACCACAAAUAUAUUAUUAGCUCUGUUAAUUUGCUCUAUAAGCCUUUCUUCUUAGAUAGUGAACAUGUACAGGUCAGCCUGGUCUUUGUAGAAAUGAUCUGGAAUUUUCAGACUGUGGGGAAGCAGUGGGAGGGGUUGAAAAAGGAAGGCAUUAGCCCGAGUUUGUUACGUGUGGACUCCCCGAGGGGCAGAGCUGCUUCUUGGUCCCGUGGACUGUGUUUAUGGAAAACUCUGUAACACUUGCAUUUUGGAGCUUUCCCCGUUCUGGGUAAUUAAAGGGGUUUGUCAGCUGUUUUAGUGGUCAUUGUGCCUACAUUUUCUCCCCUUCUUCUGCUUCCUCCUUCUCUUCCUCCUCCUUCACCACCAUCACCACCACCACCAGGUGUGGAAGACGACUGCCUGCUGGUCCGCCAUGUGCGAAGUGUUUGAUCUGCAUUAUCUCCCUUACUCUUCACAACUUUCUCAGGGAUGCUGUUUUUCUCCCUAUUUUACAAAUGAGGAUCCUGAAGCCUGGAGUGUUUUAAGUGACCCAUUGGCCCUCAGACACCAUACGUGGCCAAGCUAGGGCCUACAAUUCCAGAGCAUUCUCCACGACACUGUUCUCGGGUACAGCCAUCUUCGUGAAGAAAAUUAGGAAACUGAUUGUGAUGGGUGAUGGUGGAGCCUCCCAUGAGCCGGGGUGAGAGGCAGGAAUAGGGCAGCAGAGAUGUUUCCUUCCCAUUCUGGGUCCCCUUGAAGGUGGGUUGUUCCUCACUGUUCCUCUCACAGCGGGGAGAGCCAGAUGGUCACGCCACACAACCCAAUGUCCAGGUCUUCCAUUUUUCUUCCAGUCUCUGGUGUUCUCUAGUGAUAUUUUGUCUUUGGAUAGGUUUCAUGCAAGGCCCUCCAUGUUCUCAGAAACCUUUCUUUUCCCUCUCUGCCUUUUUCUUCUUUCCCUGGCACCUAAUUACUCCGUCCAUUCUGUGGGUGACAGGCUGCACUGUGUCCUCUCAUACUGCCCAAUCUCAGCCUCUGCAUUAGAUACCUUUGCGUCACUCCCUGGUCAGUCUUUUCUGUCCACAGCUUUUUUAUGUCCCCCUCCCUUGAAACUUUUUACACAAUCCGUCAACAGAAAGUUUUUCUUAAACCAUCCCUCACAUACAUUCUCAAUACUAUAUGAUUUCUAGGAAUCUGAGGUCUUUUCAGGUAUUCCCCGAUUGUCCCACACCACCAGAGGAAUAAUCUUUUCUUCCCCCUCUUUCCUGGUAGCCUGACCACACUGGCCUCGUUCUAUCUUACUUGAGCGAAGAGAGAAUUUUGGCCAUCUGAGUUCAUAAAAUUUGGCAUUUGAACAACUUUAAUGAAGCCUUUCUUCAGAACAGAUAUGGGGAAGGAAGCAGAGAGAGAGAUGUGGGGAGGCAAUAAGAGGGAAUCUGAGAGAGCACAACCGAAAUUUCUCAUGAAACAGAUGAGGAAACUGGGUCCUUUGGCAUUUAAAUAGCAUGCCUGAGAUCACACUGUUCGUGGUAGCUGAGCCAGAGUCAGAAUUGGGUGUUCUGUCCUAGGACCAUGUCCCUCUAACACCGCGGCAGAGGAAGAGUGGUAAAAAGCAGACAAGAUUUCAGAAAGUGUGGCUUCAUCGUGAAGACUCUUAUAGAGUGGAGUGUAUGGCACCACACAAUGACUGAUGAUAUUAAUGAUCAUAAUUAUGACUUCCAAGUUAAAGACAAGCUUUAAGUUAUGAGAUUUAGGAAGUGAGAAAAUGUAAUGCAUUUUGGAAAGCUAUCCAACAAAAAUGUUUGGCAUAAAAAUAAUGUGAAGUUUUAAAAGGUUCAGUUAUCUGGAUGAAUGACUUAUGAAAAAUAUGUUACUCCCCAGUGAAGACAGGAAGGAGCUAUCCAAUAAAUCUGUACGUUCACCAGACCUGUGUACUCCUUGGGGGUAUUUUCCCUUUGUGUGUGGGAGUCAGACAUACGGAAAACGAUCUCAUUUCCUGAAUGACCUGAAAAGGAUGCAGCGCCCUGCUGCCAUGAGCACUGUGGGUGAAGUGCGUUCAGUGAUAUGUGUUGCCACGAUGUAGUUCCAAUUACCUCUACUUCAGAUUUUUCAUUCGCUUUUUUUUCUGUCUGAUGUUCUUUGGUUAUCUGUCAAGGAGAUUUCCCUCAAGAGGGUUGUAAGUUGCUGGGAAGAGGGGACCAGUCAUUGCCAUACUGUGGAGCCCUUCUAGGGGACGAACACAGACACUGGAGUAGACAGGCCUGAGUGUGAGUCCUGGUUCUUGAACUUAAUUAAUCUUCAUCUUCAACCUGUUAGCUCAUCUGAAGUGGUAAUAAAGAUACCUCUCCCUUGGGGUAUGUAAAUUUCAUAAUGCAGUGACUUACUCUGUUAAAAAAAAAGUUCUUCCCCCCUCCCUUUAUGUAUCCUCCAUAAUAUCUAGAUCUAGAAGGAGCUAAGAGAUUUUCUAGUCCCGGGCCUAUGUUUUACAGUUGGUAUGGCGGCCAGAGAUGCUGAUGGUUUGCUCCAACUCCUGUGGCUGGUCAGUGGCACCUCCUGAACCCAAAUCUAGGCCCCCCCAAGUUGGCAGACUCCCAGCAAGCGUGCUUGCCGCUAUGGACUGGGGUCACUCAGUCGUGUUGAGCAAAGCUCUUGGUUUAACUUUAAUUGAAUGCAAGCCUCAACAGUAGAAGAGAUGAGCCAGCUGCAGUUACGCGGUAAUAACCAAGGCCUUUUGCAUCUCACAGUGAAGUUUUGAGGGAAUAGCUGGGAUGGUUCUGAAUAAGUUUCAAAGAUAAAAGAAAAGGAAAAAAAAACAAAAAACAAAACCCGAAGCCUGGAAGUACUGUCCAGUGACUCUAACUAGCAUUAUUACUCAGCCCUCAAGUAUUCAGACCUAUUCAGGGACCCGCUUGUUCACACAGUUGCUUAUUAUUUGUGGCCGGGGCGCGACUUGAACGAGGGCAUCAUUUCUUAAAUCUGCUUUUGUUAAACAGGCAGUUCCAUGUCUGUCUGACCACAGAGCAGACACUGUUUGCUGGCGGGGGGGGGCUGGAGGGGUGGGGGGGUGAAUUUCCAGUGUCAAGAGUGGGAGUCGAUGGCUCUCAGUGGAAGUUUAUACAGAAGAGUUGGAGAAAGCCAAAUGUGUGACUUUGGGGCAUGAGGGAACCUUUGUUUUUAGAUGUUGAGGGACUGAAGUAUCUGUUUUCAGCAGCUCUGUUCUCUUAGCCGUGGACUGGAAAUGCAUUCCUGAGUUUUCCUCUGUAUAUCCAUGUUAGAUGAGGAGAAGACUUGGAGGCUGGAAAAUGACCCUUUGUGAGGCAGAGUGGAGAGAACGUGGCUGCCUCUUCCGCCUGACCUCCCCCACAGCAGGUGUGGGCGCUUUAGGACUAUUGGAGAAAGAGCAUAGAUUUGGGGAGAAACCGUUGCUCUGCCCUCCUCCUUGGAAAACACAAGUGAAAGUUUGUGAUUUUCUUCUCAGCUGCCUUGUCCCCUUCCCAGUGGCUUGUGAGGGGCCACAUAACUAUAUCUUUCCGAAGACUUAUCUCUGUAACAAGCAGUAACCCCUGCUCCACUCACAUCCCCUAUAUGUGAGGAAACAGUAACCAGAGAUGAGAUGCUGACUCUGAACUAUUUCCUGGAAGAAAUGAGCUGCAGGUAGAAAUCAGCCUGAUCAUUAAAAAGAAAAAAAAAAAUCAAGCCCCCAAGAACAGCCUGUUUGUCUCUGAAGUUCCCCUUUUCCCUAAGACUUCCCCUUGUUCCCUAGUGAAAGUGUGGGUCUGGGUGUGGUGCUGGUGGCCAUUCUAGGAAACUGGGAUUCGGGAAAGAACGGGGGAGGGCUCCGAUCUGCCUGUCGGGCUGCAGGUGUGGCCAGAGCAGCGCUGGGUUCCCUGAUGAAGAAUCCAGGUCAGGAGACAAUUUAGAGUUUGUAUCAUCCAGGGCCUGCUAAUUAACACUCAGAUCAAUACAUCGCACUGGGGUGGGCCAGGGGAGCUAGAACAGAGACUUGACAGAAAGGGGAGCAGGAGUUUGCUAAGCUGUCUUCUGGACUGCUCUGAGGAGCUUAGCCAAGGGAAGACUUUUCCCCAUCUUUGUUCAUUCGUUACUCAUUGUUGCUUCUAGACUGUUCGUCUUUCCCACACUGUCCUGGACGGUCGAAUCAGUCCUGCUGGAGGAGACUGCAUAAGAGAGUCUCCUGACUCACCGGAGGGUCCAGCUAUGUCUUUUCAUGUACAGAUGUGUGAUCCCGGGCGGGGCCUCCGAGGGGACAGAAGGGAGUUCUCUUUUCUCUGGGCCUGGUUGUAUGUGUGUGCCCAGCUUCCUGCCACAGAGUCGGCCCACCUGGUUUUGGGAGAUGGAAAAUCUGAAGGAUUGGACUCCUGGUGCAUUUUGCAAUCGCUGUGUCCUUUUGACCUGAGAUCUGGGAGGUUUUAAAAAUCCAUGUCAUGAGGUCACUGGACGGGUGUUUCGCACAGCUGAGACCCAUGGCUCUCCUCACUACCGGGUCCUGAUGGUCAUGGCCAGCGAUGGGGUGGGGACAGUGGGUCUCGCUUGGUGCCUUUUGAUAUGGUCUGUAUUCAAAGUGAGGCGAACUGGGUGGGAGAGCUGUCGUUUGGGAUGGAGAUAGGAGUAACGGAGAUCUUCGGUCUGGGAGUGUCCUCUUACCCCUGCCUGGGAGGCCUGAGUGACCCCAUGUGGCUGACUGCAUCCCAGAUCCCCUGGAAGGCUGCCAGAUCCUUAUUUGACUUUGUGCCAUUUAGUCCUUCCGUUAGUCUGCUGACUUGAAUACUUUAGGAUGAGGUGGAAGGAGGAAGCGUAUGAGUUGGAAAGGUAAGAGUCUUUACCCUUAGAAAGCUAGAGGAACGGAGGCUUGCGUUCUGAAUUUUACAUUAUGCCUUUUUUGUGUCUCCGCUCUGGCUCUGUGCUUUUGGCUCUGAGUCGGGUGGUGUGGGUCCACUUCUCUGCAGGUAGAAGUCACCUGUAGGUCAGAGGCAGCUUUUUUUUUUUUUUUAAACAUUAUUUAUUUUAGAGAGAGGGAAAGAGUGUGGGGGGAGAGGCAGAGGGAGAGGGAGAAGCAGACUCCCUGCUGAGCAAGGAGCCUGAUUCGGGACUUGAUCCCAGGACUCUGAGAUCAUGACCUGAGCGGAAAUCAAGAGUCAGAUGCUUAACCGACUAAGCCGCCCAGGCACCCUUCAGAGGCAGCUUUUAAACACGGUGGAAUCCAGGGGGGCUGUUGGAGGGCACAGGAAGGCUGGAGUAGUGAUCCUGUAAUCUUUUUCAGCAUGCUAUAAGGGUAUCUUUAACUUUCACCCAGAUAGGCAGGGAGAUGGGCAAAGGGACCUCAGCAUUCGGUUACAUGUCAAGUAGGGCACCUAUUAGAAUAUCUGUCUUAUUCCCACCCUUCCUGGAACUGUGGUUUUUCUAUGCCACCUACCUUAGAAAAUGAACAGGGCCCUGAUACCAGUGGCAGGAUAUGUAUUGGUCAUCUUUUAGAAGCACGGUGAGAUAGGUGGACAGGACCUUAGAGGGAAAUGACCCUUAAAAAUGAAUGAAGGAAACAAGGUGGGGAACCAUGUAGACUCCCUGAAAGGCCUUGUCAUUCCUGCAGAGAGGGAAGAGGUGGGCCCAAGGGCAUAAGUCAGUGUUAAUGUUAGCUAGCUCUUCUGAGAAUUUGUCUGUCUUGAAAACUUCAGUAAAGUGGCCAAAUGGAGCUUCUCUAAACCAGGGGGAAGGCCUGUGUGUGCUUUUGUGGUUAGCUCUUGUGUUGAGCAGUCUGAUUUAAGGGAAAGAUGGUUCUGUGUACAUUUCCAUUUCAGUUGUGGUAUUUUAAGGUUUACCAUGGAGGAGGUGUGGGUGAAUGAGAAGAUAGUCCUCUUGCUUCUUGAUUCAGUGAGAUCUAGGUUACAGGUGAAAGUAAGUUCACAACGCGUCCACAUUCUUAUUUGGGUACAUUUUAGGAUUGCCUGCAGAUCCGAGGGCAUAUCUAGUUAUUCUCCAUUGGUGUACAUGCUUGUGGCCUGCCAGGCUAAAUGCCAAGUGGAUUAUUGGAAAGAAUUCACUUCACAGAUCUGGCCCCCACAUUGGUGUCUGUGAUUCUUCUUGGGCUCUUGUAUUGGGGUUCUCUUAAAUCCUUUUGGGACUCCAAGUGGGGCCCAUGCUGACAAGAUUAUGCUGCUUUGGGGAAGUUCUGGCUGCACACUUCCCCAAGCAGGGUGAAGCAAGUGUUAGUCCAGCUGGCUGCCUUUUGGGCAGUUGGCCAUGCUUGGCACUUCUGAGUUUCUGGUAUACCAGUUGCCAGAAAGGCGGCCUUUCAGCUGGUCCUAGUGUCCCCAGGGCACAAAUGUUAGGCUUUGGAGGAAAAUUUGUGAUUUUAUGUUCACUCCUUAUUUUCGUUUAUGUGCAUUUAUGGCAUUAUAGUUGAAGUUCAUUGAAAGAUGCCUCUGCGCUCCAAAGCCUAGAAAGUAGCUUCCUUGGGUGAGGGAGAGGUUCCUAGGUAAAGUUAUCGAAGGCCCAUGCUGAGGGACACACACUGGAGGUUGGAAGGAGCACGAUCUAGGGACAACAGUGAGAGGGCUGACAGCAUGCCUUUAGAUGCUGUUUUUAGUUCUAAUCAGGACUGUACAGUAUGGCUCGUGCCUCCUUGGGCAUCAUUCUGCUUUUAUUCCGAGGGUUCGUUCUUGUGACCCCGCAUAUGUGCAUGUGUGUGCAUGCUCACAGGGUCAUAAGUCAGGGAAACGAGGGCAUAAUCUGUUCUCUAGCUUGUAGAGUGACAGGUUACACAAAACCCAGCCUUGUGGCAAGAAAACCUUACAUAUAGAUGGAAAAUAUAUCUCCUCGGAAGGUUGGCUUUCUGAUGGGCUAUAAACGGAUUGUUAAACAGCAAUGUGAGGGGCCGUUAACAAGCUGUUUCUAGGAGCAUCUCCCUGGUCUGGUCUGAAAAGGUAAUGUGUACAUAUUAGAGCUAUGAAAUAGUUUGCCUGUGGUGUUUAUAUGUUGGUAGAUUGUGUGUGUGUGUGUGUGUGUGUGUGUGUCUUCAGGGGUGAAUGAACCGAACAGAUAACUUUCCAUGUUGUUUAUUUCCUCCUACAUUAGCGUCCACGUUCUGUGGUGGGCUGUGUUCUGCCUAGUUUUUUUUAAGCUGGCUUAAAUGAAGAGGUGUUUGGUCAGGCAAACUUCAGAAAGCUUCAGUAUGUUUAUGAAAAGAUCCUAUAUAUGUAAUAGUUGCAUUAAAGCUUGAGAAUCCUUGGAUGGAUGGGUACAUCACCUCUCCAGAAGCAAAGGAGCAUUCAGGUCUCCCAAGUUCAGCAAUGCAGGGUGCCUAUUAGGUAUCUAAUCUUAUUUGAACUUCUUUUCAUUUUCAGGUGUCAGAGCUGAACACUGGUCCAUGCCGUUUCUACUACUAUUGGAUUUUAAUGAGAACCCUUUCUUGUUACUAGGAUGCCAUGCUUCUACUGUGUUCACAGCUGCUGUGUUAAAAAACAGGUGUCUCUUAUAAUCCUCUGACUGGAUCAGUUUGCUAGCCUGGCAAAGCCUUAUUAUUAUUGUUUUCAUUUAUUUAUCUGUGUCCCACAUAGGUCAGAGCCUGCCAGAGGCUGCUGAUGAGCAGGAUUAAUGCGAGAGAAGCUGGGAGCUUUUCUUGAUGGAGAUUUCUGUGCAAACAGUCCAUCUAAGAUCUUAUACCAUAAAGACAGAGUUAAAUAAAACUGUUCAGGAUACGGAUCACAGGGGAGAACAGCCAAAAGAGGAAUAGUAAAUGAAUAGUUCUGUCAUUCUUUAAAGGCCAUCUUAAAGCCGGUGCUGCCACAAAUGCCAUCCAGGACUGAGGGGCAUGAGUGGUGACAGGGCACACGAACAGAUUCAUCCAAUGUUGCUUCUCAAGGCUGCUGGAUCCCAAGCUUCUGGAGGGCAGAUGUUCUGUCUUCUCCGGCCCGCAAGGCAAGCUGCUGUCCUGCUACACACCUCAUCCCUCUCAUGCUGUUCGUUCUUCUCCAUCCUCACUGGCGCCGUCUUCCCUCUAGCCCCAGAUUUCUCACUUGUCUGCCAUCUCUCACCUUCCUACCUCCACUCCCUGCACUUUCCAGUCCGACCCAGAAUGAUUCUUUGCGAGUCAAAAUUCAGUCACAGUCCCUCUUUGACCCUGCAGUUCAGGAUGGAACCCAGCCCUUCGUCAUGGAAGGCCCUGGGCAGUCUACCUUUCUAGAAUCAUUCUCCAGCCUCCCCCUUCUGUAUUACCUUCCAACCGAGACCUGCUCUUCUCCCAAAACACAUAAUGCACCCUAAUGCCUCGAAUCUUCCCCUCAUCCUUUUUCCGCCUGGUAGCCAAUGUGUCAUCUGAAGCCCAUUUCUGAAGCCGUCCCUGUUGCUGACAGGCACAGCAUCCUACUAGCCUUUGAACGUGCUGGCUAUUGGCCAUGACCCUGUUGCAGUUUGCUUGUCAUCCUCUAGCUACAGUGAUAGCCCGUGGGGAGCAGGAGUCCGAUGGAUUCAUUUUUUUAUAUCUCCAGUUGUACAGCACGGUGCUUGGCGCGGGGCAGGUCUGAUGUAUGUUAGCUGAAUAGUCUUUUUAAAAUCAGCAAGUAUUUAUUAAGCUUCUCUUACGGGCUCAGUGGGAACUAGGCUCUGUGACACAUACGUAAGUGUGAGAUAAGCACCUUGCAGUCAAAUCCUGAGUUGAAAUCCUGAGCAAAUAGCCCUUGAAGGUAGAGGAAGGAAGGAAGAGACCUCACUUUUGUUGUAGGGUUAGGACCACAUGGCUGGGCUAACCGCACUGCCACUCCUCAUACCUGAGACGUACGCACUGGACAGACACACAGGACCCGUUCACUCUUUCCCUCUUAACUGCCCACCUUCCGGAGAGGAGCACAGAGAGCUGGAGAAAAGACUGGAGAACCUGUAGGCCCAAUGCAAAGGGAGAUGCAUGAACAGCCCCAAACGAGUAAACUUACUCACCAAUGUGCCCUUUUACUUUGCUUGGCUCGGGAUGCUCCUGGGCCCGGGAGAGAGAGCUGAUGGCUGUGUUGCAGCCAUGUGCAGUCUUGACAUUGUUGGCUGUGGUUCUCUGGGAACCAAGGGUGUAUCACCACUGCGUAGGGCUGCCUGUUGUCCCCUCACCUCAUUCCUCUGCUAGCUGGUUGGCAGAGAUAGCCUGAAAGAGCAGCCUGGCUUCCUGAGCCUUCUGUGAAGUCUGUGAUUGCCUUGCCAAGGACAGGGAGGAAUCUGACUCUGUACUUGGGUCAGCUCUUUUCAGCCUUCUCCUGAUCCCGUGUUCUCUUCUCUACUUAUCUGAGAAGCUGAUCUUCUUGGAGCUCUUAGCUUACUCCUAACAUGUUGCCUGGGGGGCCUAAACCAGAGAAAACAACCGAGCGUACCACGGGACUAGAAAAACAACUCAGAGCCGUGUCUUACGGAGGGUACGACAGCCUCACCAUUUCUGUUGACAGUGGACAACUCAGUGCUCCUUACUUAAAGAGGAGGCUUUUAGGAGAUGGUGUUAGGGUUAUGAACAGUCUGGUACGUGUGAAAUGGACCAACCGGCAGAAGUCGGGUAUUUUCAGGUAUAAGGAGACACACCUAGACCUUCCCCACAAGCCCAAAUGGCUCAUUUCCUGUUUCUUCUCAUUGCCAUUAACAUGCAGCUGGGAUUGGGGGCAUCAGGAUAUGUGAAAAGUCUCCACUUUCUGAACCCACCCAGAUCCCAAGCAAGGAUUUUUUCAUGGCUCUCCAAACCGUCACCUGCCAGGUUUUCCUGGCUACCUGCCAGGGGCGCUCUUUUCCAUAUCCACACUGCAGCUCCCCGCCAGCCCUCCCGGCCUUGAUCUUAUCUUGGCUUCAGGGGACCUGUCUCCACGCUGCUUUCCUUCUAGGCCUGUCCCCACCGGCAGCCCAGGGAUUCCCUUGCCUCUCCCAGAUGGGCUCCAAGGGGGGUUGUGUGCAAGUUGGGAGUUGUACAGCCACGAUGGGGAGCAGCAAGGCAUGGGUCCCAGUGCAGACACACAUUUAUGAAGCUGCCGGGGGUGGGGGUGGCUACCAAGGGUGUACCCUCAGGAGCACCCUGCUCGUACCCCUCAUGCUGUCCAGGCCAAAGGGGUACUGUCAGGUUCCUCCCACCACUGUGGUCCUUGCGCAACAUCUCCAUGGCCAAGGCUGUUGAUUUAGAAGCCAUUUCCUUCCUGUCUACUUCCUCUCCUUUCCUUCCAGCCUCACCAGACCCAGUGGUAGGCUUACUGCUCAGGGCGCACGGAAACCCGGGGCUUGGCGUGGAUGAGCCCCGGGGUUCCUGAUAACGAACGGGCGUAGUCUAAUCUCUGACCUGUCCCCCGUUUCGCUCUGUGAGGAAUUACAGUCCUUGUUCUAGCAACCUGCUCAAGAACAAACUUUUGAGCCCCCACAACUGUAAUAGGGCCAUCAGGCUUUGUUUUCACUUGAAGUUGCUUAAACAUUGACCUUCCUGCGAGGAAAUUUCAGGACGCUUUUCUGAAAGAGCUGUUGAAAUAGAAACAGGAGAGCGAUAACGAGUACCCAUUUGAUUGUGUGGGAGGGGCACCCGCAGCCCCUCCCGCUGAAGUUACCGUAUUUUCCAAACCCUGCAUGAUGAGUGUGAUCUGAUAAAGGACUUCUCACUGUUUCUCAUUUAUGUGGUAAGCCUUACAAAAGGAUACACCGUUCUAUUUUCACAGAUUUUUUUUUUUUUUUUUAAGAUUUUAUUUCUUUAUUUCAUAGAGCGAACACAAGUAGGCAGAGCGGCAGGCAGAGGGAGAGGGAGAAGCAGGCUCCCCGCUGAGCAUGGAGCCCUAUGUGGGGCUCAACCCCAGGACCUUGGGGGGAUCAUGACCUGAGCCGAAGGCAGACGCUUAACCUACUGAGCCACCCAGUAGGGUGAUUACAGAUUACUUUUACCGAAAAUAAAAUCACGCGCGUUCAGGGCUGUUAAGGAACAGCCCGCCUUCCAGCCAGUCUUCCAGCGUGGCAAGGGUGACACCGUCCAGUGGCUGGAGGCUCCACACCGUGGGGCUCUUCUGAACUUGUUCCCUUCUGGUGACCCCUGGCUGGGAUUGAGAAGGACUACCCAGUCUGUUUGUCUUUCUUCUGGAUAAAAGUUGCAGGGACACUUAAGCCUUAUGCUUUAGGGCAGAAUCUGAUCACAGCCGAGAUGAGAAAGAAAUUUCCCCUUGUGGUUUCAGGUUGCACAGUGGCCCAGGCAGGUGCACUACCUCUGUUAAACACACUCACAGCAGCAUGCUGCCUCCUCCCUGGCCAUCUCCAGGCCAGGCUGUUGGACCUCGUGGGCCGGCGGGGUGAUUCCUUUGGCAGGUCCUGCGCUUGAAGAUGGAAGGCAGCUCUACCCCUGCACUCGGCCUUCCUCCGGCUUCCCGUACUGGCCUCGGGGCCAUGUUGCCGGGCCCUUAGAACCCUCUGCAACUUCGCGGGAGAUUGGGAGUUGGGUCUUGGUCGCUACACACCCACGCCUGCACGCACACAUGCCUUUAAAGAGUUUUCUGUAAACUCGCUGCCCCUUUCCUGGGCAUGACUUUAGUGCCUACGCCACAUCUAACCCAUAUGCAUCCCCAAAAUACCACUCACAGCGAAUAGUAGAAUUCUUUUAACAUCAGGCCCACAGUUGACCAUCUCAGGCCUGCAUUGUGGGUAGCUUUGAA